CCUACGGGUGGCAGCAGUGAGGAAUAUUGGUCAAUGGGCGAGAGCCUGAACCAGCCAAGUCGCGUGAAGGAUGACGGCCCUACGGGUUGUAAACUUCUUUUGUCAGGGAGCAAUUUAGUCCACGUGUGGUCUUAGCGAGAGUACCUGAAGAAAAAGCAUCGGCUAACUCCGUGCCAGCAGCCGCGUUAAUACGGAGGAUGCGAGCGUUAUCCGGAUUUAUUGGGUUUAAGGGGGGCGUAGGCGGACUGUUAAUUCAGCGGUAAAAGCCCGGGGCUCACCCCCGGCGAGCCGUUGAAACUGGCUGUCUUGAGAUGACGAGAGGUAUGCGGAAUGCGGAGUGUAGCGGUGAAAUGCUUAGAUAUGGCGAAGAACUCCGAUUGCGAAGGCAGCAUACCGGCGGCGAUCUGACGCUGAGGCACGAAAGCGUGGGUAUCGAACAGGAUUAGAUACCCUUGUAGUC
rnacentral:rRNA from 1 species